UGGGAUAGGAAUGCUGCCAGUUAAGCUGAAGAAAAUGUAUAACUUGUAGCGUCACCAAUGUAAUCCUGCUGUCCUGCUUACAUCGCCGCUGUCCCUCUCGUGGUGACGCUUUGAAGACGCCGGCGAUGAAUUGUGUUAGUGCCUGAGUAUUUCUAUGGAUGAUAAAUACUGUAACGCUCCAUCAUGAUUCCUUCCGGCGAUGUCUCGUCUCAGUGGGUGACAGACAACAGUGACGGGGCACCUUCAGGGAUCAAUGAAGACUGGCAGUGAGAGCGUCCUGUCAGGGGGAGGCCGUCACGCUGCCGCGGUGCUGUGUGGAAGGAAGGCUUUGGCAUCACACAGGGACGAGCCUCACCCCAGAAAGACGACGCCCUCAAUGGAGUCUGGGGGUGUGUCGCGAUUACCCCGAACACCCACCCCCCCGACCUUUCUGAGGCAGUGCUCCUUUCUAACCAAGCCUCCUCAUCUUUUCACCACUACCACUACCACUACCCACCAUUGAUCUCCAGCGUCACUCUUCACCUCCAUCUCCGUUAACACAGUCGUCUGAUCGCAUCCUUCACCCUCGAGAGGAGUUUCAUGUACAUUCCUGUGCACCACCACCACCACCACCGUCGCCGUCGCUGUCGCCGCCGCCACCGCCAUGUGGAGAGAUGUGUUCUGUGGUGCUGCCUGCGCGUGUCCACCUCUCCCUUAUGCUGUAAAAUUUUCCAUCCAUUUUUAUAUGCUCCUGCGAUCUAUAAAAGUGGUUAUGUUUUCCACUGAAAUCACUUUUACUGACAAAAAAUAUAUUAGCAGAUUGCCUUUGUCUUUUCUAAAAAAAUAAAAAAAAAACUUGUCGAACCUCCAGAA